UAAAAAAGGAACCUCAGGGGUUAUCACAUUAACAAAAGAAUAUCAUGUACUGUUAACUAAAUAAUUGCAUGUUUGAGCCAAAAACAUGAUACAAUCAUGUUGCAUAAACAAGAUAUUCCACAACUUCAACGUUUAUAAAAUUGAAUCAUGUUGAGCGAACAUGAUUCAUUAUAGUCAGACCGAUCCUAUGCUGAAGACCACGAGUGAGAUCACGCGAUAUCACGCAAGUUCACGCAAGAUUACGGGAAAUCACGGGAUAUCACGCGAGAAUACGCGAGACAAUCGGUUUUUUCUCGCAAAUGGAAUAAAAUGUAUUCAAGGAAGACACUGCUGAGGUCAGACGAGAGUGCAUCCUCAAAUGUCUGUGUGUACCUAAAUGAAGAUCCAGAGAAGCUGGUGAGGGAGUACAUGGACGUUGAUGAAUGCGCAGAAAUGGCCAAAGCCGAGGCUGUCCUCGGAAUCGUCAUUUGAGCAGAGGGUGCAGAGGCUGCCGAUGCACAUCUGGAUGUUGGGAUUGUCCUGGAGGAGGUGGAAGUUAUGAACAGCUUGGGCAGUGUAUCUUCUGCAAUAGUGAUGCUGCUGGGACUAAUCUAUGCACUAAACUUGAGCUACCCUCAAGUUUAGUGCGUUCAGCACUCAACUUGCUCAGUAACUCAAGCAUACCUUUGAAGUAAUACAGAAAAUAAUAAUGAAAUUGGAUGGAAAGAACUUAUCAAAGAAAGCACAAGUUCUCAAUAUGAAACUCGCUGCUAAGUUGAGCAAAGUUUCACAUGGAAAAUGAGUGUUUAAAGUCUGCAGUAGAAAAUAUUUAUAUUGUUACAGUUCUCUAAGUUGAGCAACUAUACUGACAUGUUUUAUGUUGUAAAGAAUUGGCUGGGAAAUGAAACUGUAACCUUUUUGUAGUUGUUUUUUAUUUCAAUGUCCAACUCAGCUGUGUUUUGUGCUGUGUAAAAAAAACGAUGUAUAACAAUUCUGAAAAUACAAUUGUGUUGUACCUUUUCUAAUUGUUGAGUGUUCUUCCUACACUUUCACCUAGUGCUAUCUUAAAAUGCUUGAUUAACGCUUGAAAAUAUGUCUUUGAAUUAACGUCAUGAAAUAAUGGAAAGGAUUUCCACACGAUUAACUAGCUGUCUUUUAGCAUGAAGCAUAUUUGUUGAGCUAACUUACUUUUAGUGAGUUGGACCUACUGAAUCAGGUAGUGUGAAGGCACUACUGUAAAAUAAGGUGGUUUCAACUAGAUUUAUAUUCAUCUUAAUGAAGUUACAUCAAUGAUUUGGUCCUAAACAUUGCAGAUUAGUUGGGCGGGCUGUAUUGCAUUACACUGGGUCACACUAUAGUAACUGAGUUAAAGGAACCUUUAAAACAUACGUUGAGCCAACACAUUUCAUUUGAAUUUGAAUAACCUUAAUGAAUGGAGUUGAGCCAACUCAUUUGAUUUACAAUCAUCCAUUGCAUUACCAUAAUUCUGGUUAAGCCAACUAUUUGGUUUAAAUUAGAACAACCUUAAUGAAUUAUGUUUUGCUAACUCAUUUAAUUUAUAUAAGAAUAACCACAAUAUAAUACGUUGAGCCAACAUGUUUGAUUUAGAAUCACCCAUUGAAUCACCAUUGUGACAAGUUGAGCCAACACAUUUGCUUUACAUUGGAAUAAUCUUAAUAAAUUAGGUUGACCUAACACAUUUGCUUUAAAUAGGAGUAACACAAGUACAUGGUGCUGAAAUAAAGCAAAGUAAUCAGGUGGAAAUCCUUUCCAUAAUUUUUUUAUGUUCAUCCAAUGACUUAUUUUUUUCAGUGUAAGUUGAGCAACUAUACUGACAUGUUUUAUGUUGUAAAGAAUUGGCUGGGAAAUGAAACUGUAACCUUUUUGUAGUUGUUUUUUUAUUUCAAUGUCCAACUCAGCUGUGUUUUGUGCUGUGUAAAAAAACGAUGUAUAACAAUUCUGAAAAUACAAUUGUGUUGUACCUUUUCUAA